UUUAGCAAUUGUGCAAACUUUUAUUUGAACUUAAAAAGCGGAAAUCAGAUUGAUUAUCGUUUGGGUAAAUACUACAAUUUAAAAGUAGAUGGCCUUCUAUUGAAUGCAAUUUUAGAUAACUAUCGUUUGCCAAAGUGGAUAUACAUGUAGACGUUUAUUUGUCGUUUUCGCUUAUUAUUUUACGUUUGUCAUCAUAUAUUAUUUCAUCGACUUAGUCAUUGCAGGCAAUUGUUGCGCAUUUAUGUAAGGUAGGAACAAUAUACGACUUUCAUAUAAUCAUACUUAUCACGAAGUUUCACGAAGUAUAUUUCUUAUUUUUUUUCCUGAUAGAUUUAUUCAAAACUCUAAAGUAUUACACCUAAGCGAUGAUUUCACUCGAUGAUCUUGAAGUCAAAUGGACUCCUGCGAGUGACCUACUCUCAACCGCAAGGACUCGCGCGUUUGGACCUCGAUCACAAUUGAUCACAUCGCUCUAAAUCCUUCGAGGAUGCGUGACACAUGGGGAUAUCUAAAAGUUACGUAUUUGACGUAUUGUUUAUGCCGGGAAAUGCAGGAGGCAAUUUGCGACGCAUUGAACGCAUUAUCAGCUUAUCAGCCAAGCAUUUAUGGACACACUUCCGACGUCGAACUGCUGGAUAUCUUGCUGUACGUUUAAUUAUACCACAAAAGCGGCAAUGAAAUGAUUAUAAGCGUGAGAAUCGUGACGCUCGCUUCUACGAUUGCCACUUCACGAAGCAUUACAAUGCUUCGUGUGAUGUUUCGAAAAUCGAGGAGUUUUAGCAGAGCCACCUCGAGAUAAAUAAAAUCAAUUACUCGUGGAUCUUGUGCUCCACGAGUACUAUAGUAUACCGACCUCGAUAGUCCUCUACCAGGACUAUGUGACUUUUAGGUAUUUACUAGCAUAUGGCGGCACCUAUGAUGCGGCGGUCGUCGAACAAAUUAGUUUGCCGUACCGACUGUUGGUAGCCUAUCGUGUCCAACAAUACCAAACGAAUCCUAUUCAUUAUCGUCUAUUAUUGGAUUUGCAACUAAUUGCGUAACGCAAUGGUGAGUGGAUCAAAGAACACCGUGAAUGUAUUUUCGCAUGACGAACUUCAUAGCGGCUUAAUUACUAAAUUGAAUCAUUCGGAUGCUACGAUUUAAGCUUAUGCAGUAGUAACGACGAUUUCUGUGUAAAAAUAAAAAAAUAAAAAAAUAAUUGUAAAAGGGAAUAAUAGCUGCGAAGAUGUAUGAAUAAUUAUAUUAAUUUAAGCGAUUGGCGGAUCGAAUUGUUUUGAGCUUUUGAAUAAAUAAUAUAUUAACUUUUACAAGACACAGUUAUUAGCUACAUAGCAACUCGUCAUUAAAUAAAGACUGCAAAUAUUUUAUUGCACAUCUAGUUUGUGGACUACACGGUAUUUGUAUCUAAGUUGGUGGCGCUGUUGUUCCCAUGAAGCAAAUGUGAUACACGCACGGACGGGCACGCUAAUUAGUGAGUCCAUAAACGAGGAUCAAUCGCGAGUUGAAGCGUCUCAGGAGGUUCUUUUCAAAUGAAAGCACGCGAUGGGUGGACUUUACAAUAUCCAUUAGGGAGAGUUCGAAAACGAUAAGAACCACGGGACAAUUCUACGGCAAUUUACCGGCUAUUCUGUCGUUAUAAAUUCGUCGCGACGACCAAUGGGACGGAGUAAAAAGAUACGACGGUUGUAGAAGCGUGGAUCGUCUUGGAUCUAUGGAAACAUCAAACGUGACUUCUAACCAGAGGUAGAUCGAGGUUGGAGCUAACCAAGGACGAAAGCGAUAAAUAUUUCAACAGGUAACCUGGGCUGUUGACCUUGACCAGCAGUCAAAGGAUCGAACCAAGGUGGGGCAACGAAUCAGCGAGCUCUUCUUUGAAAAUGGACGCGUCCAGCGGAUGCUGGGCGUUGUCAACAGAGCGUCACGAGACUGUUUUCCCCAGGAACUGCGCUUCGACAAUCGCGGCGAUAUUCACGCACCGUUGCCGCUUGUAAAAGGCUCCAGGAGCCCGCUCUAAUUAACCAGUAUCCUAAUUGAAAGUUGCGUCGAUAUGGAUCGAAGGAAAGCUCCUCUCGGGUUUCACUUGCGGGAGAACACCGAAAAUCAGACGAAGAUCGAGGAACGCGUAAGUCUAAACAAUUUUAUCGCAGGAUUUAUAAUGAAAGUGGUGUUUAAAUCAUUGCAGGUGAGAGACGAAAAAGGUACUUCCAAUUAAAGUAUCGUGCAGGUAUUGCUUCGGAAUUGUGCCAAAAUGAACCGGAGUAUUUGCAGAUUACACUGUCGAUAAUGUAGAAUACUCGGCCGAUAAUGCAGAUUACUCUGUCGGUAAUGUAGAGUGAUCGGUCGGCAAUGCAGAUUGCUCUGUCGGUAAUGUAGAUUACUCGGCCGGCAAUGCAGAUUGCUCUGUCGGUAAUGUAGAUUGCUCUGUCGGUAAUGUAGAGUACUCGGUCGGUAAUGCAGAUUGCUCUGUCGGUAAUGUAGAGUACUCGGUCGGUAAUGCAGAUUGCUCUGUCGGUAAUGUAGAUUGCUCUGUCGGUAAUGAAAAUUGCUCUGUCGGUAAUGUAGAUUGCUCUGUCGGUAAUGCAGAGUACUCGGCCGGUAAUGUAGAUUGCUCUGUCGGUAAUGUAGAGUACUCAGUCGGUAAUGCAGAUUGCUCUGUCGGUAAUGCAGAGUACUCGGCCGGUAAUGUAGAUUGCUCUGUCGGUAAUGUAGAGUACUCAGUCGGUAAUGCAGAUUGCUCUGUCGGUAAUGCAGAUUGCUCUGUCGGUAAUGUAGAUUGCUCGGUCGGUAAUGCAGAUUGCUCUGUCGGUAAUGUAGAGUACUCGGCCGGUAAUGUAGAUUGCUCUGUCGGUAAUGUAGAGUACUCAGUCGGUAAUGCAGAUUGCUCGGUCGGUAAUGCAGAUUGCUCUGUCGGUAAUGCAGAGUACUCGGUCGGUAAUGUAGAUUGCUCUGUCGGUAAUGCAAAGUACUCGGUCGGUAAUGUAGAUUGCUCUGUCGGUAAUGUAGAUUGCUCUGCCGGUAAUGCAGAGUACUCGGUCGGUAAUGUAGAUUGCUCUGUCGGUAAUGCAGA